ACUGCUAUGGUUCAUCUCCAUGGCUGCCAGAUUAUUGUUUAGCCGUAUCCAUACAUAGAUAUAUAUAUACAUAAUUUUAGACCUUAUGUUAUAAGCUACUGCAUUCAUACAUAUAUAUUUGGAUAUAAUUGUAGAUUUUCUAUCUGUUAUAAGCUACUGAAUCCAUGUAGUGAGUAUGUACAAAUGCUCAUUUCAUAUUUUAAAACAGAGUAGGCAUAACCAAAUGUAUAUGAGGUGUUCAAGGAAAUGUCUGACUGUACAACACAAUUGUGUUAAUAUUUUUUUUUACGAAUUGAUUUUAAGAUAUUUUAUUGUUGAUGUUUUGGAUGUGCUGGCAUGAAUUGUUAGUCUUACUGUAUUGGGUUUUUCAGUGGCAUUUAAAUCUUGGGAGGAUCAUAGAAAACAACUUGAAUUGGAGAAGGCUCGUAAAUCUGGGCUUGCACCAACGGAGGUUGAUGAAGAUGGCAAAGAGAUUAACUUUGAUAUUCCUCUAUAUGUCAUUUUUGAGAACCGAUGCUGAACAGAGAGAAGUAGAUACCUGGCACUUCAUGUAAACAGCCCCUUGGCUGGGUUUACUUCCCAGUGCUAAUGGGCAAGUAUUACAUUCUCAAGAUGGUGGAGAUAGUCCAAUUCUCAGUCUCUUUAAAUUAGUCACUGCUGCAAUAUUAUCUAAGCCAGGGAAAUCAAAUCCUUGUUUCCUGCCGAUUGCAGUCCAUUCUAAGCUGGUUUUGGAAAUAGAGAUACAGAUGAAGUUAGCUACCUUAAGGUCGGAAUUCCAUUAGGAAAAAAUUACUAUGCCUGAAAAUGAGCAAAGUCAGAACUGAAAGAGCUUCUUCAGAGCUUUGGAAGGUUGCGGGUUUAGCUGUUGUUUGUGUUAUAUGUUUCACCUCUAAUGCUUUUGUAGGCAGUAAGAGCAGCUGAUUAUAGUAUUGGGAGUAAGUUGUUGAUACCUAAACCCCUCCUCUCACUUUUUGGAAACUUGACAGAACGAACAGGGUAGAGUGAUUUCUUUGGAGCAAUUCUUGACAACAUUUGUAGUUGAGGCCUUUAGAAUGGAAGAAUGUAUUUCACUAAUUUUUGUAUACAUUUCUUGUUUUGUAUUUAGUGAUAAAGGAAUCUGAAUUGGGCAUAAA